UCUCACUGUUUCCUGUUUGCUCUCUGUCUUUUGUGGCACCUUUACUCUCUGCUCCGUGUCUGCACACCUGUUCCUCGUUUAAUUAGUUGUAUUUAGUUCCACCUGAGUCCCUCCUUCACUGCUUCAUUAUUAUUCUUUUUUGACGGAUGUGGAUCGGACGGGUUUUAUUCGCAACAGACGAUCCAUCUGGACUGGACCAUUUGAAGGACUGCUUGCAGGACAUAAAAGAGUGGAUGUCAAAAUUUCCUGCAGCUCAAUGACAGAGUGAAAUUCUUCUGUUCGGGAACUCCAACCCCCCAACUGUGCACAAUAGCCAAGAUCAAGUAUGUCCUCUCCCCCAGUGACUUAGAGGGUCGUGUUCAUGCUCAUCUUCUGCAGACUGGACUAAUGGAAUGCCCUCUAUGCUGGGGUCACUGACAAGACCAUAUAUAGCAUGCAGUUGGUACAAAAUGCUGGUGACAGGCACAAAAAUGAGGGAACACAUUUCUCCCAUCCUCUCCUCCCUUCACUGGCUCCUGGUGAAGCACAGAGUGAAAUUUAAGAUCCUUACGUAUGUCUUCAGAGCGCUCCGUGGUCUUACCCCAGCUUACAUCAAACAUCUCCUGGACCAACCUAUCAGCUCCAGGCUUGGUCGUUGCCUCAGAUCUGACAACCAGAUGACCUUGAAGGUCCCACAGUCAAACCUAGUGACAAAGAGAGACUGUGCAUUGUCAAUGAUGGUACCUGGCCUAUGGAAUAAGCUCCCCCUGAAAGUCAAGUCCGCCACCACUCUGGACACUUUUAGAGCACAGCUUAAAACUCACCUCUUUGCCGCAAAUGACUUGAUUUGUGUUCAUGUGUCUUAAAUGUUUGUUCUAAA